UACAGAGGUCUCAAGCGUUGUUCGGAUUCAUUGGGCGUAAAGGGUGUGUAGGUGGCGCGCUAAGUCGGGUGUGAAAUUUCGGAGCUUAACUCCGAAACUGCAUUCGAUACUGGCGUGCUUGAGGACUGGAGAGGAGACUGGAAUUCAUGGUGUAGCAGUGAAAUGCGUAGAUAUCAAGAGGAACACCUGAGGUGAAGACGGGUUGCUGGGCUGACACUGACGCUGAGGCGCGAAAGCUAGGGUAGCAAACGGG
rnacentral:rRNA from 1 species